rnacentral:rRNA from 1 species
UACCAGCACCCCGAGUGGUCGGGACGAUUAUUGGGCCUAAAGCAUCCGUAGCCGGCCUUACAAGUCCUCCGUUAAAUCCAGCUGCUUAACAGAUGGGCUGCGGAGGAUACUAUAAGACUAGGAGGCAGGAGAGGCAAGCGGUACUCAGUGGGUAGGGGUAAAAUCCGUUGACCCAUUGAAGACCACCAGUGGCGAAGGCGGCUUGCCAGAAUGCGCUCGACGGUGAGGGAUGAAAGCUGGGGGAGCAAACCGG